rnacentral:rRNA from 1 species
AUACGGAGGGUGCAAGCGUUAAUCGGAAUUACUGGGCGUAAAGCGCGCGUAGGCGGUUUAGUCAGUCAGAUGUGAAAGCCCCGGGCUCAACCUGGGAACUGCAUUUGAUACUGCUGAACUAGAGUAUGGUAGAGGGAAGUGGAAUUCCGGGUGUAGCGGUGAAAUGCGUAGAUAUCCGGAGGAACACCAGUGGCGAAGGCGACUUCCUGGACCAAUACUGACGCUGAGGUGCGAAAGCGUGGGUAGCAAACAGGAUUAGAAACCCGGGUAGUCC